UUAGGAAUAUUCGUCAAUGGGGGGAAACCCUGAACGAGCAAUGCCGCGUGAAUGAAGAAGGCCCUAUGGGUUGUAAAAUUCUGUUGUAUGGAAAGAAAUGUAAAGUUAGGAAAUGAACUUUUACUUGACGGUACCAUUCAAGAAAGCCACGGCUAACUACGUGCCAGCAGCCGCGGUAAUACGUAGGUGGCGAGCGUUAUCCGGAUUUAUUGGGCGUAAAGGGUGCGUAGGCGGUAUGUUAAGUAUAAAAUAAAAGCCCGAAGCUUAACUUCGGUUCGUUUUAUAAACUGGCAAACUAGAGUACAGUAGAGGCAAAUGGAAUUCCUAGUGUAGUGGUAAAAUGCGUAGAUAUUAGGAGGGACACCAGUAGGCGAAGGCGAUUUGCUGGGCUGUAACUGACGCUGAGGCACGAAAGCGUGGGGGA
rnacentral:rRNA from 1 species